GUCUGAGUUGACACAAUUAACUAGAGGCAGUGUGCAAAGUACAUGCCUGUGCAUUAUCUGCAUUUGAACCUUACAACAGUCCAAUGAGAUGUGAUGCCUGG